UUGUACUUCUUUGUCACAUCUCACCGCCAGCGUCAUGGGUCGUGUGCGUACUUUGUUAUUCGCUGCGUUGCUCUGUCUUGUGGUCGUCGGGAUAGACGCACAGUUUACAACUCCUAACAGUUGUACCAACAGCAUAUGGUGUUUUGUUUGCCGUAUCUUUUUUGGGGGAACUUGCACAACUCAAUGCGUUUUUCCGAGUAGCAGGAUUGCCAUUUUUCGGGGCACCAAUAACCAGCUCUCUUGCAAUUGCUGCAGAAGGUUUUCCUUUCCUGUCAUAGGCUAGACAAAUCGAAGCAACGAAAAAAGAAGAGCAAGCGUCCAAGUUUAUAUCAUGUUCGGAAUAACCGAAAUCAAAUUCUUCCUUUAGCUACACUUUGAGACUAAUUGCUAUAUUCCGUAGUGGUGAUGACAAAGGCACGUUUUCAUUGCCACUCUUGUAUUUCUUUGGCUGAACUGCCAAAUUUAUAUGGUAUAUAAUGUUACAAAGGCAAGAAUGACGCCUCCUUUUCUUACCAAAAAAGUUCUAGAAAACUUAUAUGAAAUGCCAACUAUAAUCCAGUAAUGUGAACAUCCAUACAUCAAAGAUUGUAAUGAAUUCUACUUGC